AUCUUUAUACAGUCACAGUAUUGUAGCCAAUGAGGUUUAUCUGAGGCGUGAUUAUUGCUAAUUGAAAACUUUUCCCAGUACCCGCUGUGAUGACUUAUGAUAUAGUCUGCAUUGGGAAUUUUUGACAGUCUCUAUGGAGA
rnacentral:snRNA from 1 species